CCCUCUUUCGGCCGGCCCCCACGGCUGGUGAUGUUUCUUCCGCGGAAGCAAGUGGGAGCCGCUGCCUAAGGAAGCCGGUGCAGCAGAUGAGAAAAAUGAAUCACAGCAAAAUCAAAUGGCUUUCCUAGUACACCAAACUAGUAAGGAAUGGAGCAAGUAUUCACAUCUGACCAGCUUUAUCCAGUUUCCUUAGGGCUUUGGGGGAUACUUUGACAACAUAUGAUAAACAGCAAUACAUUAAACUAUAUAUAUGACCCAAAAAGAGGAUAGCAAAUUUCUUAUAUGGAUACAGGACUCCAAAGGCAAAAUAUAUACCUAACAUAGUCCAGGAAGUGGAAUGGCAACA